rnacentral:rRNA from 1 species
AAUAGAUACCCCGGUAGUCCACGCCCUAAACGAUGUUCACUAGGUGUCGGGGGGUAACCUUCGGUGCCGCAGCUAACGCAUUAAGUGAACCGCCUGGGGACUACGGCCGCAAGGUUGAAACUCAAAGGAAUUGGCGGGGGACCGCACAAGCGGUGGAGCAUGUGGCUUAAUUCGAUGCAACGCGAAGAACCUUACCAGGGCUUGACAUGUAUCUGCAAGCGAUAGAAAUAUCGUCUCUUUCGAAGGUGAUACACAGGUGGUGCAUGGCUGUCGUCAGCUCGUGUUGUGAAAUGUUGGGUUAAGUCCCGCAACGAGCGCAACCCUCAUUGUCUGUUGCCAGCGAGUCAAGUCGGGAACUCGGACAAAACUGCCUCUGUAAGGAGGAGGAAGGUGGGGAUGACGUCAAGUCAUCAUGCCCCUUACGCCCUGGGCUGCACACAUGCUACAAUGGCCGGUACAAAGGGUUGCUCACCUGCGAAGGUAUGCUAAUCUCAAAAACCCGGUCUCAGUUCGGAUUGGGGUCUGCAACUCCG